UACGUAGGGUGCGAGCGUUGUCCGGAAUUAUUGGGCGUAAAGGGUGCGUAGGCGGUUUGGUAAGUCUUUUGUGAAAUCUCUGGGCUCAACUCAGAGUCUGCAGGAGAAACUGCUGUGCUAGAGUGUGAGAGAGGCGAGUGGAAUUACGGGUGUAGCGGUGAAAUGCGUAGAUAAUCCGUAGGAACAUCCGAGGCGAAGGCGGCUCGCUGGAUCACAACUGACGCUGAGGGACGAAAGCUAGGGGAGCAAACAGG
rnacentral:rRNA from 1 species